GACGAACGCUGGCGGCGUGCUUAACACAUGCAAGUCGAACGGAAAGGCCCUGCUUUUGUGGGGUGCUCGAGUGGCGAACGGGUGAGUAACACGUGAGUAACCUGCCCUUGACUUUGGGAUAACUUCAGGAAACUGGGGCUAAUACCGGAUAGGAGCUCCUGCUGCAUGGUGGGGGUUGGAAAGUUUCGGCGGUUGGGGAUGGACUCGCGGCUUAUCAGCUUGUUGGUGGGGUAGUGGCUUACAAAGGCUUUGACGGGUAGCCGGCCUGAGAGGGUGACCGGCCACAUUGGGACUGAGAGACGGCCCAGACGCCUACGGGAGGCAGCAGUGGGGAAUAUUGCACAAUGGGCGGAAGCCUGAUGCAGCAACGCCGCGUGCGGGAUGACGGCCUUCGGGUUGUAAACCGCUUUCGCCUGUGACGAAGCGUGAGUGACGGUAAUGGGUAAAGAAGCACCGGCUAACUACGUG
rnacentral:rRNA from 1 species